UCCCAGGUGGUCCAGUGGGUAGGAAUCCUCCUUGUAGUGCAGGGGACUUGGGUUCGAUCCCUGGUCUGGGAA
rfam:Ovis aries breed Texel chromosome 8, whole genome shotgun sequence.